CUGACCGAAUCAUGGUGCGUUCAUUUUCUUGUCUAUAAAAACCAAGUCGAAUCACUUGGCAAAGUACACUUCCGAACGCAUUCUACACAAGAGUUUUCAACGUACAAGGAGGAAUAAUUAAGACUGUGAAAAUGUCUAAGAUUAUCUUGGUUACUGUCCUAGUCGCGUGCUUGGCAAUGAUGGUGUCCGCAAGCCCGGUGAAGGAGACUCGUGCUAUAAAACUUCUGAAGCAAAUACGCUCUACUGUGUUAACUGACGAGCAGAUGGAUGCAGUAUACUCAUUCUUUGACGAGGACAAA